UACGUAGGGGGCUAGCGUUGUCCGGAAUCAUUGGGCGUAAAGAGCGUGUAGGCGGCCCGGUAAGUCCGCUGUGAAAGUCGGGGGCUCAACCCUCGAAUGCCGGUGGAUACUGUGGGGCUAGAGUCCGGAAGAGGCGAGUGGAAUUCCUGGUGUAGCGGUGGAAUGCGCAGAUAUCAGGAGGAACACCGAUAGCGAAGGCAGCUCGCUGGGACGGUACUGACGCUAAAGCGCGAAAGCGUGGGGAGCGAACAGG
rnacentral:rRNA from 1 species